GACGAACCGUGCGAACGUUAUUCGGAAUCACUGGGCUUAAAGGGUGCGUAGGCUGCGAGGAGGGUGGGGUGUGAAAUCCCUCGGCUUAACCGAGGAAUUGCGCUCCAAACCGCCUUGCUGGAGUGAGACAGAGGUGAGCGGAACUAAUGGUGGAGCGGUGAAAUGCGUUGAUAUCAUUAGGAACACCAGAGGCGAAGGCGGCUGCACUGGGUCUCAACUGACGCUGAU
rnacentral:rRNA from 1 species